CGCGGUGUAGCGCAGCCAGGUAGCGCAGAGGGCUCAUAACCCACAGGUCGCCCGUUCAUCGGGCCACCGCAACCA
rnacentral:tRNA from 1 species